rnacentral:rRNA from 1 species
AACGAACGCUGGCGGCAUGCCUAACACAUGCAAGUCGAACGAGACAUUCGGGUCUAGUGGCGCACGGGUGCGUAACGCGUGGGCACCUGCCCUUAGGGUCGGAAUAACUCCCCGUAAGGGGUGCUAAUACCGGAUAAUGUCUUCGGACCAAAGAUUUAUCGCCUUUGGAUGGGGCCGCGUUGGAUUAGCUAGUUGGUAGGGUAAAAGCCUACCAAGGCGACGAUCCAUAGCUGGUCUGAGAGGAUGAUCAGCCACACUGGGACUGAGACACGGCCCAGACUCCUACGGGAGGCAGCAGUGGGGAAUAUUGGACAAUGGGCGAAAGCCUGAUCCAGCAAUGCCGCGUGAGUGAUGAAGGCCUUAGGGUUGUAAAGCUCUUUUACCCGGGAUGAUAAUGACAGUACCGGGAGAAUAAGCGCCGGCUAACUCCGUG